UACAGAGGUCCCAAGCGUUGUUCGGAUUCACUGGGCGUAAAGGGUGCGUAGGCGGUCGGGUAAGUCUGAUGUGAAAUCUCACAGCUUAACUGUGAAACUGCAUUGGAUACUAUCCGGCUCGAGGAAUGGAGGGGAGACUGGAAUACUUGGUGUAGCAGUGAAAUGCGUAGAUAUCGCUCGGAAGGCCAACGGCGAAGGCAGGUUACUGGUGCGCAACUGACACUGAGGCACGAAAGCGUGGGGAGCAAACAGG
rnacentral:rRNA from 1 species